UUCAUACAAAAUUUUUAGUAUGUUUUUUGUGUUCGCAAAAUUAAAAAAUGUCAUUUUUUGACCCAAACAUAGAUUUGAUAAAUUCAAACCUAUGAUGACGACUUUUAUGACACCCUUUACCGCUUUUCUUUACAACUCAAUAUGAAACUUCUCAGCACAACUCAAUAUGAAACUUCUCAGCACAACUCAAUAUGAAACUUCUCAGCACAGAGAAAUAUUUACAUUUACCAAUUAACCAAGUUAAAACUUAUCAAUAAUGUAGAUGAAUCUAGUGACGAGAAUCACAUGACGGUGAAGACCUUCCUGCAACAAAGAGAUUAUCAUCCGUGCAAAGGAAGCAACAUUGUUUUCUGACGAGAAGGAAGGCAAUUCCGACCAUGCCGACAAGGAGAAGCAGAGGUGCCAUCAAAUUUAAAGUCAGUGAGGGAGUCGAUCUGGUCCAUUCACAUGGUGAGGGAGACGAAGGGGUUGCAUCACGUGAUGGUGACCUAUGAGUGGCGAUCGGAGAAGGGGAGGGGAAGGUGGUAGUUGUUGUUGGUGGAGGAGUCUUCAAUGACGACCUAGGAAUGUUAGAGUGUGGAAUGUCCAUUAUAAAAUAAUGUACUAAAGAAUAACCUAAAUAUUAAAAAAAAAGUUCAACAUGAACCAAUCUUUUAAUUUGUGCACGCGUCAUUAAAUAUACAGUGUGUUUCAAAUCAUAGAAAAUUAUUCCUGAAAUGGACUUAAGAAUGUAACAUCGGUACAAGUUAUAAAAGAAUAUUG
rnacentral:lncRNA from 1 species